CGGCUGGCAGCUGUGACCAAGAAGAGAAAAUGGCAAAGGCUCUGGGCAGCCAAAGGCAGCUGGGGACAGCCCCUAAGCAGCAGAGGGCUCCCUUCCUAAGGGCCAGGGGAGCCUCAGUAUCUAGGCCGGUCCUAAAGUUGCAAAUGGAGACUUGUGUUACCAAGGUCCUCGCUCACAAAGUUCUCCAGGUGCAGCCCUGCCAUGGAGAUGGACAACCAAACGUGAACAGCAAAGUCCACGGAAGCACCCAGGUCCACAGUUCUUCCCACAUCUCAGCAGCUCCCCAGCUGACAAGAGAGCCAUCUUCAUUGUGGUUGACUGGCAUCAAGAAGCAAAGAGGUAAAUACAGGCCUCAAGAUGGAAGAGCUUCACCUUAGUAGCCAAAGUCAAUUCAGAGAGGCAAAAGAGUAGAUGGAGCCAACCUGCAGCUUAGGUAGGAAUCCAACUAAAACAUCCUGAAGGAGAACAAGGCUUGAAGGCAUCCAGGAAAGAGGGGUCAUACCGCUUCUUCAGUAGUUCAGUGUUCUUAUACAGGUAAUCCUCAAUUUAUGAAUACAACUGAUCCCAACAUUUCAGUUGCUAAGGGAGAUAGUUGUAAAGUGAGUUUUGCCCCAUUUUAUGACCUUUCUUGUCACAGUUGUUAAGUGAAUCACUGCAGUUGUUAAGUAAUAACACAGUUGUCAAGUGAAUCUGGCCUCCCCAUUGAUUUUGCUUGUCAGAAAGCCACAAAAGGGGAUCACAUGAUCCCAGGACGUUUCAACCAUCAUAAACAUGAGCCAAUUGUCAAGUGUCUGAAUUUUGAUCACAUGAUCAUGGGGUGAAAGACUGUCCUAAGUCACUAUCGUUAUUUCAAACGGUCAUUAAAUGAAAGGUUGUAAGUCGAGAGAGGACUACCUGUAUUGAAAUUUGUUUUCUAAAUAUUAAAUGUUUAGUUGAACAUUUGGGAAUGCCAA